rnacentral:lncRNA from 1 species
UCCUCGCUCUCCUCUCUUUCCAAGUUCCAUCCAUUUAAAGCUUCUCUAUACUUUAAGCCCUCCCCCUAAAUCUUUGCUUCUCCUCCUACCUAACCUUCCAUGGAUCACAAAGGGUAUGGACAUAUAAGAGUGGGAAGGAUAGGAGAAAAAGGAAGUAAAAAGAAGAGAUAUUUCAUGGAGAAGAGAAAAAGGAAGAGAAGCUAGAGAUCUAGUUUAAAAAGAAAAUAAAGACUAUGGGCUUGAAUGGUCUACUUCCAUGAAGAAAAGAUACA